UGGUUUUCGCCAGACGAGUGAAACGGGAAAUCGGUGAAUUCUGCCUUUAGUCGCAGACCAUUCCGAUGCUGCCCCCGCAACGGUAAAUGAGUUUUACGCGAAUCACCCAGCCACUUUGCAUAACGGUUUUUAACCGGCAAGGGAAGGCGAUUAGCGCUGACAACUUCUGUUGUCGCUCAUGAGCCCGGAGACCGGCCUGUGGUA
rnacentral:ncRNA from 1 species